CCUAUUUGAAGUAAGAGACACAAAAUUUACUCAAAUCCAAGUUUAGUACAAACUUUGUGGAAAACAUCUGUUCAUUCUUCGCUGUCAUGAUGAUAAUGAUGGUGAAUGCAGCUGCAAGAAGAAGUGAUCUCUAAACAGAUGUGAAGACACCUGUAAACAAUGUUUCUUUUUUUCUUAAAAACAUCAACAGAGCUGCAUCAUACAGUCCAGUAUGAUUUUCUUUGGUUUCUUUAAUAAGGUCAUAAUGAUAAAAACUCAGUGUGUUGGUUAUGUGAGCUUUUGCUUUGGUACAUUUUCUUUAGGAUGCCAAUAUGUCAAACAAUUUGUUUCAAAUAUGUUUUGGUAUAUUUACCUUUUACUAACAGAAUCACCUGUAUGUCGUCACAUUAACAAAUCAUUCAGAGUGAUCUAAAAUGCAUACUGUGGGUUUUGGUUCUCAUUUCUGCAUGUAUGCAGCAAAUGCAGAUGGCAUUUUUAUUGUUAUCAAUAAAAAUAAUUAAAAUGGUCAGGGGUCUGUGAACAAUGUUCAUUUGAUUUAUUUUAGCUGUGCUGUACAGGGAGCUGGACACAGACCACGUUAGCUAAAACUAAUAGAGUUAUCAAAAAAGCCUUUCGCUUAAGUUGAUAUGUUGAUAUGAAGUCUGGGUGUUAAGACUCAGUUUCAGUACUCUGUAGUUUGAUACAUAUCACUGGUAAUUAAAAGUCCAAAUGUGAGAAAAUG